rnacentral:lncRNA from 1 species
UCUUACAACCGAUCUUAGUUUUAGGACAAGGCUUUGGGAUUUAAGACAAAAUCUUAUCUGGUCCUAACAAGGGUUGUAAGGGUCCUAAAGAAGGAGAAUCAGAAGUUCAAAGGAGGUUAUAAGAGGGUGAGGUUAGAUUCUUGAAGAAACUUGAUCGGUACGAGGCUAGUCGAGUUCUAGGGGCUAGAACUCUUGAAGCA